rnacentral:rRNA from 1 species
GACGAACGCUGGCGGCGUGCCUAAUACAUGCAAGUCGAACGCUUCUUUCCUCCCGAGUGCUUGCACUCAGUUGGAAAGAGGAGUGGCGGACGGGUGAGUAACACGUGGGUAACCUACCCAUCAGAGGGGGAUAACACUUGGAAACAGGUGCUAAUACCGCAUAACAGUUUAUGCCGCAUGGCAUAAGAGUGAAAGGCGCUUUCGGGUGUCGUUGAUGGAUGGACCCGCGGUGCAUUAGCUAGUUGGUGAGGUAACGGCUCACCAAGGCCACGAUGCAUAGCCGACCUGAGAGGGUGAUCGGCCACACUGGGACUGAGACACGGCCCAGACUCCUACGGGAGGCAGCAGUAGGGAAUCUUCGGCAAUGGACGAAAGUCUGACCGAGCAACGCCGCGUGAGUGAAGAAGGUUUUCGGAUCGUAAAACUCUGUUGUUAGAGAAGAACAAGGACGUUAGUAACUGAACGUCCCCUGACGGUAUCUAACCAGAAAGCCACGGCUAACUACGUG